UACGUAGGGGGCAAGCGUUGUCCGGAAUUAUUGGGCGUAAAGAGCGUGUAGGCGGUCCGGUAAGUCGGCUGUGAAAGUCCAGGGCUCAACCCUGGGAUGCCGGUCGAUACUGCCGGACUAGAGUUCGGAAGAGGCGAGUGGAAUUCCCGGUGUAGCGGUGAAAUGCGCAGAUAUCGGGAGGAACACCUAUGGCGAAGGCAGCUCGCUGGGACGUUACUGACGCUGGAGACGCGAAAGCGUGGGGAGCGAACAGG
rnacentral:rRNA from 1 species